GUGGAGGGGAGAAAAGCACUUUAGAUAGAACCACACAAGUAGAAUAUUCCAAACAGCCUGGAAGCAGAGAACGGCUGAAGGUUCCGAAAUUAACAUUGUCCCAAGAGACAAUCAAAGCCCGAAUAAAUUUCGAGAGAAAUGCGAUGCUCACAAUAGUCAGUCUGGGGGAAAGUGGUAUUCUGAUGCAUUGUGGGAAGAUGGCAGGCAGAGGGUUAAGACCCGCCAGAGCCUUGGUAUCCCCUUCUCUUCCCCCCUCCCCCCCUCCCCCCCCUCAGCCAAGCUCGCAAAAAUGAGCCGAGGGAAUGAGGCAAAAGCAAAGCGGAGAAUCAGCUGAGACCUCGGCCACUUGGGCCAGGCGGGCCUGCAGGCAAAGGCAGCCAGAACCCUGCACAGAGACGACGAGAGGAGACUCCUGCCGGGUUAGCCACUCGCCCUCCCCCAGUGAGCCUCCCGGGCUCGGACCGCCGGCUAGGACCGCCAAGGCUGCGGACAUUUCCGGAGGUUCUAUCAUAAGACAGCAAGUAGUCUGGUGCUGUCCUCGCUUCAGCAGCCCCAUCUAUUCCCUUCCAAAAUGCAGGGUCAUCAAUAGCAAGAACAGCACCAGAGGUAAAAACUUGUACCUCGGCCACUCCAGGCAUCGCAUACACCAGUACGUACAACCAAUAGCUGCUUUCUGAAAAGAAUGGCAGCAUGGCCGGUGAGAGUCAUCAAAGUCCAGCGGUGGGACAAAGGUCAAGAAGAGUGGCGAUGGCUCCGCAUGCAGUGGGGGACCUUAGCAAUCUUUGAAGCCUGACCAAGCUCUGAGCGCUCCACAGUGCCUGCUUGGGUCACCUUCAUAGCUGUUGAAACAGAUUGUUCUCAUCUGUCCAUUCCACCAGGGGAAGUCUUCACAUGCGUGACAUAGACGCUUCCCAAAUUCACUGAUGAAUUUGAAGCCUCUUGAAUACCCUCAACCUGAUUUAGCCCAUUUACCAAAGCAGUUUAACUGGGAUGUACCUUCUGCACAUGGGAUUGCUUCUUGGAGCCACAGAUAAGAGUUGGGUGAUGGUUAGACAUCAAAGAUGGAUGAGCGUCUUUGUGUGGGGUAUUCAGAGAGGACUAGCACCUCUGGUAUGAAGGCUGCUGAGACUUUUUCAAAAGAUCUAGACACUUUAGUCACUUCAUUUGCAUAAUUAUAGUUACUUUCCAAAAUGGUUGCUCUACUUCACAGCUCUAAUAACAAUUAUUAAUGUACUUCUCUUUUUACAAUCUCUCCAAUGUUGACUUGCCAUUUUUUUCCAUUUUUGUUAAUUUGCAGUUUGAAACCUUGGGGUUUUGAUGUGCAUUUCUCUUAUUAGUGAAUUGGAACAGUUUUUCAUUAGAUUAUGAAUACAGCACAGUUCUUUUGAGAACUGUUCUUUUAGCAUUUAUUUAUUGGGGACUAUCUAUCUGAUAUAUAU